rnacentral:lncRNA from 1 species
GCGCCCGGGCCGGCAACUCCCUGGGAGUUCGGCCCGCGCCGGGAACUCGCCCAGCAGCCUGCGUUUCUCGAGAGUGGGCAGCCGGCUCCCGGGCGUCCCUCCCACUGGCUGCGGGGGGCCGGGACUGGGCGGUAGUGGAGGCAGGUCCUUGGACUGCAGGCUGAGGCUUUUUCCCCCCACGAGCGGUUUGGGCCCUCCAGGAGCCCCCGCGCGGGGGUCACGUGGAUUACGCUAGGUGAGAGCCGGAGAGGCUGCGCGACCCUCGGGAGGCUCUCUGCCUCCGCCCUUUGUCCUUUGCCCCUGAUCAUGAGCGCCCCAGGCCCAGGGACCUCCUUCGGCGGAUGAGGGCUGGCAGAGACCUGGCGGCUCAGACUCACGGGGCAGGAACCUAGGCUAUUCCUUGUGCAUCCCAGGAUUUUACCCAUGAACGAGAACAUGAACGUGUUUUCAACCCCAGCGGUUCCCCUGGCGCCUCAACCCUCCUUUGAAGAGUCAUUCUAGAAGGCUGUAUUGAGAUACUGUUUGUAUCUGUCACUGUGAGCCCUGAAAAGAGACAGAAGAAAACGCGAGUCCCUGGCCUGAGGGUGCUCCGUCCCGUGGGGUAGCCAGGGAACUCCACUUCAGCAUUCUCCUGUGGCGUAACAUUACCUGCCACUUAUGCUGGUUCCCAUGCGCCAAGCUAAUUUCAACAGCGGGUGAAGUGGGCAUCUCCAUGUGAUGGCUGAGGAGACAGAUUCUGGGUGUUGCUGCUAAGCCUCAUGGAGGCAGCCAUGACAGAGCA